GACGAACGCUGGCGGCGUGCUUAACACAUGCAAGUCGAACGGAAAGGCCCUGCUUGCAGGGUAUCGGGUGGGGAAAGGGUGGGGUAACAGUGGGGGGUUCGGCCUGCCACUUGGGGUUAAGCUGGGAAACCGGGUUUUAUUACGGGAUAGAACUUUCCUGGUAGUUGGGGGGGUGGAAGGAUUAUCGGUGUGGGAUGAGCCCGCGGCCUAUCAGCCUGUUGGUGGGGUAAUGGCCUACCAAGGCGUCGACGGGUAGCCGGCCUGAGAGGGUGGACGGCCACAUUGGGACUGAGAUACGGCCCAGACUCCUACGGGAGGCAGCAGUGGGGAAUAUUGCACAAUGGGCGGAAGCCUUAUGCAGCGACGCCGCGUGGGGGAUGACGGCCUUCGGGUUGUAAACCUCUUUCGACAGGGACGAAGCUUCGGUGACGGUACCUGUAUAAGAAGCACCGGCUAACUACGUG
rnacentral:rRNA from 1 species